rnacentral:rRNA from 1 species
UAGGGAAUCUUCCACAAUGGACGCAAGUCUGGUGGAGCAACGCCGCGUGAGUGAAGAAGGUCUUCGGAUCGUAAAGCUCUGUUGUUGGUGAAGAAGGAUAGAGGCAGUAACUGGUCUUUAUUUGACGGUAAUCAACCAGAAAGUCACGGCUAACUACGUGCCAGCAGCCGCGGUAAUACGUAGGUGGCAAGCGUUGUCCGGAUUUAUUGGGCGUAAAGCGAGCGCAGGCGGAAUGAUAAGUCUGAUGUGAAAGCCCACGGCUCAACCGUGGAACUGCAUCGGAAACUGUCAUUCUUGAGUGCAGAAGAGGAGAGUGGAACUCCAUGUGUAGCGGUGGAAUGCGUAGAUAUAUGGAAGAACACCAGUGGCGAAGGCGGCUCUCUGGUCUGCAACUGACGCUGAGGCUCGAAAGCAUGGGUAGCGAACAGGAUUAGAUACCCUGGUAGUCCAUGCCGUAAACGAUGAGCGCUAGGUGUUGGGG